rnacentral:piRNA from 2 species
UGCUCUAGGUAGGUGACUCCAGCUGC